rnacentral:rRNA from 1 species
UGAGCGGCGGACGGGUGAGUAACACGUGGGCAACCUGCCCUGAAGCGGGGGAUAACAUUUGGAAACAGGUGCUAAUACCGCAUAACAACGAAAACCACAUGGUUUUCGUUUCAAAGAUGGUUUCGGCUAUCACUUCAGGAUGGGCCCGCGGUGCAUUAGCUUGUUGGUAGGGUAACGGCCUACCAAGGCAAUGAUGCAUAGCCGAGUUGAGAGACUGAUCGGCCACAAUGGAACUGAGACACGGUCCAUACUCCUACGGGAGGCAGCAGUAGGGAAUCUUCCACAAUGGGCGCAAGCCUGAUGGAGCGACACCGCGUGAGUGAAGAAGGGUUUCGGCUCGUAAAGCUCUGUUGUUGAAGAAGAACGUGCGUGAGAGCAACUGUUCACGCAGUGACGGUAUUCAACCAGAAAGUCACGGCUAACUACGUGCCAGCAGCCGCGGUAAUACGUAGGUGGCAAGCGUUAUCCGGAUUUAUUGGGCGUAAAGCGAGCGCAGGCGGUUGCUUAAGUCUGAUGUGAAAGCCUUCGGCUUAACCGAAGAAGUGCAUCGGAAACUGAGCGACUUGAGUGCAGAAGAGGACAGUGGAUCUCCAUGUGUAGCGGUGGAAUGCGU